rnacentral:lncRNA from 1 species
GUAAUUCCAGCAUCCACUCCACAGCUGCAGACGCCCGGCAGACCCUCACCCGAACUCAGGGAGGUGGACAUCCCAGACAGCAAAUAGGGAAACACGUGUUUGCAGUGGAGAAGCAGACGCCAACACACACAGAAAGAGCAAGGGACAGAAACACAGAGACAAGUGGAAAGACAGACAGAACCCUGACGACAGCUGGGUCCUCGGAGGCUCAGAGGCCCAGAGGCCCACGCCGCCCAGGCCAUUCCGGCCAUAGCUUCCUUUUGUGCUGACGGCGUUUGAGCUGAUUCCAUCAGUUAGAAUCCUAAGGGUCUUGGCACUCUCCACCCCUGCCCUGUACGGAGUGGCGAUGGAU